CGCUCGAUGGCUCCAAAAGGAGCAUUAUUUAUUGCAACAUCGUACACACCAUGGACGAAUAUAUGGCCGAGGAAUCGAAUCGUGUUAUGACACUGGCACUGGAGGCUAACCGCAAUGCUGCAAAUGUGAUAGAAUUGCUCCGUGGAGUUUCGGAG